rnacentral:rRNA from 1 species
UUCCUACGGGAGGCAGCAGUGAGGAAUAUUGGUCAAUGGGCGGGAGCCUGAACCAGCCAAGUCGCGUGAGGGACGACGGUCCUAUGGAUUGUAAACCUCUUUUGUCGGGGAACAAAGGCGCCCACGGGUGGGCGGAUGAGUGUACCCGAAGAAAAAGCAUCGGCUAACUCCGUGCCAGCAGCCGCGGUAAUACGGAGGAUGCGAGCGUUAUCCGGAUUUAUUGGGUUUAAAGGGUGCGCAGGCGGCGAGUUAAGUCAGCGGUAAAAUUUCGGGGCUCAACCCCGACGAGCCGUUGAAACUGGCUU